rnacentral:rRNA from 1 species
AGUGAACGCUGGCGGUAGGCCUAACACAUGCAAGUCGAACGGCAGCACAGUAAGAGCUUGCUCUUACGGGUGGCGAGUGGCGGACGGGUGAGGAAUACAUCGGAAUCUACUUUUUCGUGGGGGAUAACGUAGGGAAACUUACGCUAAUACCGCAUACGACCUACGGGUGAAAGCAGGGGAUCUUCGGACCUUGCGCGAUUGAAUGAGCCGAUGUCGGAUUAGCUAGUUGGCGGGGUAAAGGCCCACCAAGGCGACGAUCCGUAGCUGGUCUGAGAGGAUGAUCAGCCACACUGGAACUGAGACACGGUCCAGACUCUUACGGGAGGCAGCAGUGGGGAAUAUUGGACAGUGGGCGCAAGCCUGAUCCAGCCAUACCGCGUGGGUGAAGAAGGCCUUCGGGUUGUAAAGCCCUUUUGUUGGGAAAGAAAAGCAGCAGGUUAAUACCCCGCUGUUCUGACGGUACCCAAAGAAUAAGCACCGGCUAACUUCGU